GUGGGGAAUAUUGGACAAUGGGCGAAAGCCUGAUCCAGCCAUGCCGCGUGUGUGAAGAAGGUCUUCGGAUUGUAAAGCACUUUAAGUUGGGAGGAAGGGCAGUAAGUUAAUACCUUUCUGUUUUGACGUUACCGACAGAAUAAGCACCGGCUAACUUCGUGCCAGCAGCCGCGGUAAUACGAAGGGUGCAAGCGUUAAUCGGAAUUACUGGGCGUAAAGCGCGCGUAGGUGGUUUUGUAAGUUGGAGGUGAAAUCCCCGGGCUCAACCUGGGAACUGCCUCCAAAACUGCAUGACUAGAGUACGGUAGAGGGUAGUGGAAUUUCCUGUGUAGCGGUGAAAUGCGUAGAUAUAGGAAGGAACACCAGUGGCGAAGGCGACUACCUGGACUGAUACGGACACUGAGGUGCGAAAGCGUGGGGAGCAAACAGGAUUAGAUACCCCAGUAGUCC
rnacentral:rRNA from 1 species